rnacentral:rRNA from 1 species
AUUGAACGCUGGCGGCAGGCCUAACACAUGCAAGUCGAGCGGAUGAAGGGAGCUUGCUCCUGGAUUCAGCGGCGGACGGGUGAGUAAUGCCUAGGAAUCUGCCUGGGAGUGGGGGAUAACGUCCGGAAACGGGCGCUAAUACCGCAUACGUCCUGAGGGAGAAAGUGGGGGAUCUUCGGACCUCACGCUAUCAGAUGAGCCUAGGUCGGAUUAGCUAGUUGGUGGGGUAAAGGCCUACCAAGGCGACGAUCCGUAACUGGUCUGAGAGGAUGUUCAGUCACACUGGAACUGAGACACGGUCCAGACUCCUACGGGAGGCAGCAGUGGGGAAUAUUGGACAAUGGGCGAAAGCCUGCUCCAGCCAUGCCGCGUGUGUGAAGAAGGUCUUCGGAUUGUAAAGCACUUUAAGUUGGGAGGAAGGGCAGUAAGUUAAUACCUUGCUGUUUUGACGUUACCAACAGAAUAAGCACCGGCUAACUUCGUG